CGCCGUUCGUGUUGGGGUCGCGCCGCCCUCGUUAGUUCACGCCGAAGCUGUUGUGCACUGGCACCGUCGGACGUCCUACGCUCUGCCGAAGUAGACGCUGUGAGGGUCUCGUGCGACUGAAGGAAGAAGAAAGGUGGAGGAGGAUUGUAAGGCUGGUGGUCUCUUUUUACGGCAAGGAGACGAAGGAGAGAGAGAGAGAGGAUGGGAGAGAAAAGACAGAG